rnacentral:rRNA from 1 species
AGCGUACACGGUGGAUGCCUUGGCAGUUGGAGGCGAUGAAGGACGUAUUAACUUGCGAUAAGCCUAGUCAAGCUAGUAAAAAGCGCUUGAGACUAGGAUUUCCGAAUGGGGAAACCCACCUGCUUGCAGGUAUCUUGCACUGAAUACAUAGGUGUAAGAGGCGAACGCGGAGAACUGAAACAUCUAAGUACCCGUAGGAACAGAAAUCAACCGAGAUUCCGGAAGUAGCGGCGAGCGAAACCGGACCAGCCCUUAAGCUUAUUAUGUGUUAGUGGAACAUUCUGGAAAGUUUGACGAUACAGGGUGAUAGUCCCGUACACGAAAAUGCAUCUUAAGUGAAAUCGAGUAGGUCGGAGCACGUGAAACUUUGACUGAAUAUAGGUGGACCAUCAUCUAAGGCUAAAUACUCCCAACUGACCGAUAGUGAACCAGUACCGUGAGGGAAAGGCGAAAAGAACCCCUGUGAGGGGAGUGAAAUAGAACCUGAAACCGUGUACGUACAAGCAGUAGGAGCCCUUCGAGGGUGACUGCGUACCUUUUGUAUAAUGGGUCAGCGACUUAUAUUUUGUAGCGAGGUUAACCGAUUAGGGUAGCCGUAGGGAAACCGAGUCUUAACUGGGCGUAUAGUUGCAAGGUAUAGACCCGAAACCCGGUGAUCUAGCCAUGGGCAGGUUGAAGGUUGAGUAACAUCAACUGGAGGACCGAACCCACUAACGUUGAAAAGUUAGGGGAUGACCUGUGGCUAGGAGUGAAAGGCUAAUCAAACCGGGAGAUAGCUGGUUCUCCCCGAAAUCUAUUUAGGUAGAGCCUCGGACGAAUACUUACGGGGGUAGAGCACUGUUAAGGCUAGGGGGUCAUCCCGACUUACCAACCCUUUGCAAACUCCGAAUACCGUAAAGUACUAUCCGGGAGACACACGGCGGGUGCUAACGUCCGUCGUGAAGAGGGAAACAACCCAGACCGCCAGCUAAGGUCCCAAAGUCAUAGUUAAGUGGGAAACGAUGUGGAAAGGCCCAGACAGCCAGGAGGUUGGCUUAGAAGCAGCCAUCCUUUAAAGAAAGCGUAAUAGCUCACUGGUCGAGUCGGUCUGCGCGGAAGAUGUAACGGGGCUAAACUAUGCACCGAAGCUGCGGAUUCAUACUUUGUAUGAGUGGUAGGGGAGCGUUCUGUAAGCCGUUGAAGGUGUACCGGGAGGUAUGCUGGAGGUAUCAGAAGUGCGAAUGCUGACAUGAGUAACGAUAAUGCGGGUGAAAAACCCGCACGCCGGAAGACCAAGGGUUCCUAUCCCAUGUUAAUCAGGGUAGGGUAAGUCGACCCCUAAGGCGAGGCCGAAAGGCGUAGUCGAUGGGAAACGGGUUAAUAUUCCCGUACUUGGUAUAAUUGCGAUGGGGGGACGGAGCAGGCUAAACAAGCAUGGCGUUGGUUGUCCAUGUGAAAGUGAGUAGGUUGAGAGUUUAGGAAAAUCCGGACUCUUAAGACUGAGACACGAGACGAGCACCCAAGGGUGUGAAGUUGUUGAUGCCAUACUUCCAGGAAAAGCCUCUAAGCUUCAGAUUAUACCGAAUCGUACCCCAAACCGACACAGGUGGUCAGGUAGAGAAUACUAAGGCGCUUGAGAGAACUCGGGUGAAGGAACUAGGCAAAAUUGUACCGUAACUUCGGGAGAAGGUACGCUCCUAUCUGUGAUGAGACUUGCUCUCUAAGCGGACGGGAGCCGCAGUGACCAGGUGGCUGGGACUGUUUAUUAAAAACACAGCACUGUGCAAAAUCGCAAGAUGACGUAUACGGUGUGACACCUGCCCGGUGCCGGAAGGUUAAUUGAUGGGGUUAGUUUUCGGACGAAGCUCUUGAUCGAAGCCCCGGUAAACGGCGGCCGUAACUAUAACGGUCCUAAGGUAGCGAAAUUCCUUGUCGGGUAAGUUCCGACCUGCACGAAUGGUGUAACCAUGGCCACGCUGUCUCCACCCGAGACUCAGUGAAAUUGAAAUCGCAGUGAAGAUGCUGUGUACCCGCGGCUAGACGGAAAGACCCCGUGAACCUUUACUACAGCUUGGCACUGAACAUUGACCCUACAUGUGUAGGAUAGGUGGGAGGCUUUGAAGCAGA